rnacentral:rRNA from 2 species
AAGGUCGUAAAGCUCUGUUGUUAGGGAAGAACAAGUACCGUUCGAAUAGGGCGGUACCUUGACGGUACCUAACCAGAAAGCCACGGCUAACUACGUGCCAGCAGCCGCGGUAAGCAUUAGGUGGCAAGCGUUGUCCGGAAUUAUUGGGCGUAAAGCGCGCGCAGGCGGUUCCUUAAGUCUGAUGUGAAAGCCCACGGCUCAACCGUGGAGGGUCAUUGGAAACUGGGGAACUUGAGUGCAGAAGAGGAAAGCGGAAUUCCUGCAGUAGCGGUGAAAUGCGUAGAGAUGUGGAGGAACACCAGUGGCGAAGGCGGCUUUCUGGUCUGUAACUGACGCUGAGGCGCGAAAGCGUGGGGAGCAAACAGGAUUAGAUACCCUGGUAGUCCACGCCGUAAACGAUGAGUGCUAAGUGUUAGGGGGUUUCCGCCCCUUAGUGCACGUGCUAACGCAUUAAGCACUCCCGCCUGGGGAGUACGGCCGCAAGGCUGAAACUCAAAGGAAUUGACGCGGCCCCCCACAAGCGGUGGAGCAUGUGUUUUAAUUAGAAGCAACGAUCUC